rnacentral:rRNA from 1 species
AUUGAACGCUGGCGGCAUGCCUUACACAUGCAAGUCGAACGGCAGCACGGGUGCUUGCACCUGGUGGCGAGUGGCGAACGGGUGAGUAAUACAUCGGAACGUACCUUAUCGUGGGGGAUAACGCAGCGAAAGCUGUGCUAAUACCGCAUAGGCCCUGAGGGGGAAAGCGGGGGAUCGAAAGACCUCGCGCGAUUAGAGCGGCCGAUGCCUGAUUAGCUUGUUGGUGGGGUAAAAGCCCACCAAGGCGACGAUCAGUAGCUGGUCUGAGAGGACGAUAAGCCACACUGGGACUGAGACACGGCCCAGACUCCUACGGGAGGCAGCAGGGGGGAAUUUUGGACAAUGGGGGCAACCCUGAUCCAGCAAUGCCGCGUGAGUGAAGAAGGCCUUCGGGUUGUAAAGCUCUUUUGUCAGGGAAGAAACACCGGCUCUAACACAGUCCGGGAAUGACGGUACCUGAAGAAUAAGCACCGGCUAACUACGUGCCAGCCGCCGCCGUAA